UUUAAAGGCAAACCUGCUGAAAGGCAGGGACGCAAAACCAGAAGGGGCUAAAGUCAAAAAGUUUGACCAGGUCAGCCGGUUGCCA
rnacentral:ncRNA from 1 species